rnacentral:rRNA from 1 species
GACGAACGCUGGCGGCAUGCCUAAUACAUGCAAGUCGAGCGAACAGAUGAAGUGCUUGCACUUCUGACGUUAGCGGCGAACGGGUGAGUAACACGUAAGGAAUCUACCUAUAAGCGGGGGAUAACAUUCGGAAACGGGUGCUAAUACCGCAUAAUAUCUUCUUCCGCAUGGAAGAAGAUUGAAAGACGGCUCUGCUGUCACUUAUAGAUGACCUUGCGGUGCAUUAGUUAGUUGGUGGGGUAAUGGCCUACCAAGACGAUGAUGCAUAGUCGACCUGAGAGGGGGAUCGGCAACAUUGGGACUGAGACACGGCCCAAACUCCUACGGGAGGCAGCAGUAGGGAAUCUUCCGCAAUGGGCGAAAGCCUGACGGAGCAAUGCCGCGUGAGUGAAGAAGGCCUUCGGGUCGUAAAACUCUGUUAUAAGAGAAGAACAAAUUGUAGAGUAACUGCUACAGUCUUGACGGUAUCUUAUCAGAAAGCCACGGCUAACUACGUGCCAGCCGCCGCAGUAA